rnacentral:rRNA from 1 species
AUUGAACGCUGGCGGCAUGCCUUACACAUGCAAGUCGAACGGCAGCACGGGGCAACCUGGUGGCGAGUGGCGAACGGGUGAGUAAUGCAUCGGAACGUACCUUUCAGUGGGGGAUAACGUAGCGAAAGUUACGCUAAUACCGCAUAUUCUGUGAGCAGGAAAGCAGGGGAUCGCAAGACCUUGCGCUGAUUGAGCGGCCGAUGUCGGAUUAGCUAGUUGGUGAGGUAAAGGCUCACCAAGCGACGAUCUGUAGCGGGUCUGAGAGGAUGAUCCGCCACACUGGAACUGAGACACGGUCCAGACUCCUACGGGAGGCAGCAGUGGGGAAUUUUGGACAAUGGGGGCAACCCUGAUCCAGCCAUGCCGCGUGAGUGAAGAAGGCCUUCGGGUUGUAAAGCUCUUUCGGCCGGGAAGAAAUCGCACGGGCUAAUACCCUGUGUGGAUGACGGUACCGGAAUAAGAAGCACCGGCUAACUACGUGCCAGCAGCCGCCGUAACAC